CUCAGUGGUGAGAGCGAGCGACUCAUAAUCGCCAGGUCGCUGGUUCAAAUCCAGCAAGGGCCACCA
rnacentral:tRNA from 1 species